rnacentral:rRNA from 1 species
AUUGAACGCUGGCGGCAGGCCUAACACAUGCAAGUCGAGCGAGCGGCGGACGGGUGAGUAAUGUAUGGGGCCUGCCCGAUAGAGGGGGAUCACUACUGGAAACGGUGGCUAAUACCGCAUACUAUCGGAUAACCCAUAGGGGUUUAGCUAGUAGGUGGGGUAAAGGCUCACCUAGGCAACGAUCUCUAGCUGGUCUGAGAGGAUGAUCAGCAAAACUGGGACUGAGACACGGCGCAGACUGAGACGGAGGCAGCAGUGGGGAAUAUUGCACAAGGGGCGCAAGACUGAAGCAGACAUGCCGCGUGAAUGAAGAAGGCCUUAGGGUUGUAAAGUACUUUCGGAGGGGAGGCGUUACCCGCAGAAAAAGCACCGGCUAACGCCGUGCCAGCAGCCGCGGUAAUUC